AGUGAACGCUGGCGGUAGGCCUAACACAUGCAAGUCGAACGGCAGCACAGUAAGAGCUUGCUCUUACGGGUGGCGAGUGGCGGACGGGUGAGGAAUACAUCGGAAUCUACUUUUUCGUGGGGGAUAACGUAGGGAAACUUACGCUAAUACCGCAUACGACCUACGGGUGAAAGCAGGGGAUCUUCGGACCUUGCGCGAUUGAAUGAGCCGAUGUCGGAUUAGCUAGUUGGCGGGGUAAAGGCCCACCAAGGCGACGAUCCGUAGCUGGUCUGAGAGGAUGAUCCGCCACACUGGAACUGAGACACGGUCCAGACUCCUACGGGAGGCAGCAGUGGAGAAUAUUGGACAAUGGGCGCGAGCCUGAUCCAGCCAUACCGCGUGGGUGAAGAAGGCCUUCGGGUUGUAAAGCCCUUUUGUUGGGAAAGAAAAGCAGCAGGUUAAUACCCCGCUGUUCUGACGGUACCCAAAGAAUAAGCACCGGCUAACUUCGUG
rnacentral:rRNA from 1 species